rnacentral:rRNA from 1 species
UACGGAGGGUGCGAGCGUUGUCCGGAAUCACUGGGCGUAAAGGGCGCGUAGGCGGCGCGGGAAGUCCGUGGUGAAAGCCCGAGGCUCAACUUCGGGUCGGCCAUGGAUACUCCUGGGCUUGAGCACUGUAGAGGCAGGUGGAAUUCCGGGUGUAGCGGUGGAAUGCGUAGAGAUCCGGAAGAACACCGGUGGCGAAGGCGGCCUGCUGGGACAGUGCUGACGCUGAGGCGCGACAGCGUGGGG